rnacentral:rRNA from 1 species
AACGAACGCUGGCGGCAUGCCUAACACAUGCAAGUCGAACGAAGCCUUCGGGCUUAGUGGCGCACGGGUGCGUAACGCGUGGGAAUCUGCCCUUGGGUUCGGAAUAACAGUUAGAAAUGACUGCUAAUACCGGAUGAUGUCUUCGGACCAAAGAUUUAUCGCCCAAGGAUGAGCCCGCGUAGGAUUAGGUAGUUGGUGGGGUAAUGGCCCACCAAGCCGACGAUCCUUAGCUGGUCUGAGAGGAUGAUCAGCCACACUGGGACUGAGACACGGCCCAGAUUCCUACGGGAGGCAGCAGUGGGGAAUAUUGGACAAUGGGCGAAAGCCUGAUCCAGCAAUGCCGCGUGAGUGAUGAAGGCCUUAGGGUUGUAAAGCUCUUUUACCAGGGAUGAUAAUGACAGUACCUGGAGAAUAAGCUCCGGCUAACUCCGUGCCAGCAGCCGCCGUAAAAC